AGGUCAGUAGCUCCAACGGUAGAGCAGUUGAUUCCAAAUCAACGGGUUGUGGGUUCGAAUCCCUCCUGGCCUGCCA
rnacentral:tRNA from 1 species